UACGUAGGGGGCUAGCGUUAUCCGGAAUUACUGGGCGUAAAGGGUGCGUAGGCGGUCUUUCAAGCUAGAAGUGAAAGGCUACGGCUCAACCGUAGUAAGCUUUUAGAACUGUAGGACUUGAGUGCAGGAGAGGAGAGUGGAAUUCCUAGUGUAGCGGUGAAAUGCGUAGAUAUUAGGAGGAACACCAGUAGCGAAGGCGGCUCUCUGGACAAAGACUGACGCUCAGGUGCGAAAGCGUGGGGAGCAAACAGG
rnacentral:rRNA from 1 species